AAACUAUAACCGCGUCCGAAAGUUCGCAACUUUGCGCUCAGCGAGAGGAAAGCCAGCGGCGACCGAGACAGCGACGCCCCGACUGCAAGGAGACAGCGAUGGAGCCCGGAGCUGCCAGCGAACAAGUGCUCUCCACCGACUAUCUUGAGGGCUUCCUGACGGAGUUUGACCAGGUGCUCCAGGACUUUGACAAGGGCGAAGCCACACAGUAUGAGGGACACCUGGAGGAGCUCAAGAGGCGGCUGUGUCCAGGGACGUAUGACAGCGGUAUCGAGGAGUCGACCAGUGACAGCACGUCUCCUGCCAGCAGCCUGAACACAAGCGAGGAAGACCUCAACACCCCAGUGACCAUGGCAUCCAGGUUCCCCUCCUCCUCCUCCUCCUCCAGAGCCAAGCUGGGAGACACGCAAGAGCUGGAAGAGUUCAUCGCGGACCUGGACAAAGUCCUGGAAGAGAUGUGACUGCCUUCUCCCGAGAAAUAUCCCGAACGAAGCACCUUCCCCGCCACGUUCCCCCGAGAGAAUGAACGGGAACCACGGGGCUGCCCCGCCCCACCCUGCCCCUACCAACCCAGAGUUGCUCUCGUGGUUUUGGCUGCCUCUCCAUCCUGCUGCUGAUGUGGACGGCAACCGGGUUUGCUUUCCUUCUGGAGAAGGGGCUGAAGGCAAGGGACCGUGUGCCCCCCCGGACUCUCCUCACGGCCACCAGCAUCGGGAGCAGCAGUAAAGGCAGAGAGACGCCGGAGCUACCCAGACCUCUGGCUUCAGGUCGCCUUCCCGUUGGAUUGNUUUUCAAACUUGACCCUGAUGGACUAUUGGGAUGGAACAUUCCUAAAGAUGAUGUAGUUGUUUUUAUUAAAAAAUGGACGCAUAUAUGGAGAAGAGCCCAAGAUCUCUCUGAAAGCUGAACAGAAGCAUAUUCCGGAGCUCUGCCGUUUGCUUCAAAUCAUGGCAGGCAGUCUGGGCAGGGGAGGGAGAGGAGGGGAGGCCUCAGAAUGUUAGAAUGCCCCCCUCUCAGCGAAUAGAGGCCUGAGGGGACAGGAC
rnacentral:lncRNA from 1 species